UUGAACUGAAGAGUUUGAUCCUGGCUCAGAUUGAACGCUGGCGGCAUGCCUUACACAUGCAAGUCGAACGGCAGCACGGGUGCUUGCACCUGGUGGCGAGUGGCGAACGGGUGAGUAAUACAUCGGAACAUGUCCUGUAGUGGGGGA
rnacentral:rRNA from 1 species